GAUUGAACGCUGGCGGCAGGCCUAACACAUGCAAGUCGAGCGGAUGAAGGGAGCUUGCUCCUGGAUUCAGCGGCGGACGGGUGAGUAAUGCCUAGGAAUCUGCCUGGUAGUGGGGGAUAACGUCCGGAAACGGGCGCUAAUACCGCAUACGUCCUGAGGGAGAAAGUGGGGGAUCUUCGGACCUCACGCUAUCAGAUGAGCCUAGGUCGGAUUAGCUAGUUGGUGGGGUAAAGGCCUACCAAGGCGACGAUCCGUAACUAGUCUGAGAGGAUGAUCAGUCACACUGGGACUGAGACACGGUCCAGACUCCUACGGGAGGCAGCAGUGGGGAAUAUUGGACAAUGGGCGAAAGCCUGAUCCAGCCAUGCCGCGUGUGUGAAGAAGGUCUUCGGAUUGUAAAGCACUUUAAGUUGGGAGGAAGGGCAGUAAGUUAAUACCUUGCUGUUUUGACGUUACCAACAGAAUAAGCACCGGCUAACUUCGUG
rnacentral:rRNA from 1 species